rnacentral:tRNA from 1 species
CGGGGCGUCGCGUAGCUUGGUUAUCGUAUCUGUUUUGGGUACAGAACCUCGUAGGUUCAAAUCCUGCCGCCCCGA